UGGGCAAAAUUAUAAACUAUUAGAUAAGAAAAGUUUGAUCUUAAAACUGCUGAUCUUAAGGCUUGUUUGAUUCAUCUAUUUUAAACUAUAAAAUCAAAAUGAUAUUCGUUGAUUUCAAUAGUUGUCAUUUAUUUUAUAGAAAUCGAAUUUUGAUUUUCAUUUCACUCUGAAAUGGAAAUGGCCAAAUCCAUUUAAAGGCCUAAGUCCAGCUUUGAAUCCAUGAUUGAUUCAUUCCAAAGUAAACCAUUUAAAUCCUUCUCUCACAAACACCUAUUUCUUCUUUUUUUUCAUCACUCUUCUUUUUUUCAAUCAAAGCGCUCUCUUAAAAUUUUAGAUGUUCAUUCUAAUUUUCAUUUUAAUAAUGAACUAAAUAUUUUUAGAUGAUUCGUCUUUUUUAUUUUUCAUUACAAUACAAUCCAAUUCCCCCCACCCCCAAAACAAAAUAAUAAUAAAAUAAAAAAAAUUU
rnacentral:lncRNA from 1 species